UUCCUCUUUUCAGGUAGAGAAGAGGAAUAAAGAUGUGAGUGAGAAAUUUAGGACAUGUGGAAUCUGCCACAAGGUGUUUUAGUAAGGCUGUUUGAAGAGAAAGAAGACAAGCAUUGGGAUUUUGUGUGACCUACUGUGGUAGGUAAUUCUUCAUCUCUGAAGAAUAUACAUUCUACAGUCCUUAGAAAGUAUGUUGGAAA
rnacentral:lncRNA from 1 species